UACAGAGGGUGCGAGCGUUGUUCGGAAUUAUUGGGCGUAAAGGGCGCGUAGGCGGUUGAGUAAGUCACCUGUGAAAUCUCCUGGCUCAACUGGGAGCUUGCAGGCGAAACUGCCGUGCUGGAGUGUGGGAGAGGUGCGUGGAAUUCCUGGUGUAGCGGUGAAAUGCGUAGAUAUCAGGAGGAACACCUGUGGCGAAAGCGGCGCACUGGACCACAACUGACGCUGAGGCGCGAAAGCUAGGGGAGCAAACAGG
rnacentral:rRNA from 1 species